GUGGAAGUAUUAAUUAUUUUUAUUUGAAAAUUGGAAUGGCUCAUUAUAUCAGUUUAUAGUUUUAUUAGAAAUACUUUACUACUUUGGGAUAACCGUAGUUAAUUCUAGGGCUAAUACAUGACUAAAUCCUCAACUUCGGAAGUAGGUGUGUUUAUUAGUAUGAAAACCACUAUAUCUUCGGAUAUAAUAGUGAGUAAUAAUAACCUUUCACUAUCGAUAUGUCGAUAAGAUAACGAUAGUUCUUUCAAGUUUCUGCCCUAUCAGCUUUCGAUGGUAGUAUAUGGGACUACCAUGGCAGCUAACGAGGUAACGAAGAAUUUGGGUUCGAUUUCGGAGAGGGAGCCUGAGAGAUGGCUACCACAUCCAAGGAAGGCAGCAGGCGCGUAAAUUACCCAAUCCUGACAUAGGGAGGUAGUGACAAUAAAUCACAAUGCGGAACUAUUAAUUUUGGCAUUUGAAUUGAAACCAUGGUCCAAUGGUAAUCAAUAACCAAUUGAAGGGAAAUUCGGGGGCCACCACC
rnacentral:rRNA from 1 species